GGAUGUGAGAGCGAUCUGGCUGUGACAUCUGUCACCCCAUUGACUGCCAGGGUUGAUUCGGCUGAUCUGGCUGGCUAGGCAGGUGUCCCUGUCCUUCCUCACUGCUCCAUGUGGGUCGCUCCCGACGCUGCAUGCUCGGUGGAAGAGGAUAACGUCCCAGGUAUAGAAGGAGUGUACCUUAAUAGGUUUCUAGUCUUCAGUCCCGGUUAUAUGAUAGCUGCGCUCCCCUGCUAGAACCUCCAAACAAGCUAUUAGGAUCUUGUUUCUGAACCUCUUGCAUGAUGUCCAUCCAGGUAGCUCUCUAACUGACAGGGAUAGUUUGUUU
rnacentral:snRNA from 1 species